CGAAGCACGAGACUGUAGACAACAACAGCACUGCGAAAAAUGUCGCCGUAACGGACAUACUACUGCAGCCUGUUGGUUUGGUGCUGGGACAUCGCGACCGCAAUUAAAUCAGAAUUUGGGGAUCAGCACUGGAGAACAGCAAAACAAGGACCGUGGGACACGGCCUACACAGGAUGGCCGAGUGUUAUCAAGUAUUCAAUAGUCGCUCAACGAUUAUGACUAGUUAAUAUUAAUUGUUAUGAUAUAGCUUAGUAAUUACAUAUUGUAUUAAUUUCUUAAAUCAAUAAUUAUUAUUCUUAUUUAUAAUUAUAUUCGUUUAACAUUAUAAAUGUAAGUUAAUCAAUAACUAGCUUUGAUUUGACACAUCGAUAAAAUUGUAUAAAAAGGGUAGAUAAUCAUUUUAAGCAUUCAUUAUUAUUCGACUUGUUAACAACGUUACGCUGUUCAAAAAUAUAGACAGAUUGUGGUAAUCGCCUUGGCUAUUUAAUUUAAAAACCCACCAGUGUUUUACAGUACUUAUGUAAUAAUAUUAGUGAUAAAUUGUUACAAUAUAUUUAAUUCAUUAUACGCUUCUUAAAGAUAAAAGUAUUUAAUUUCACUGAUCAGACAAUAAUUCUUAGAUUAAUAAAGUAUGAAUAUAUUAUAAA